rnacentral:rRNA from 1 species
UGAGGAAUUUUCCGCAAUGGGCGAAAGCCUGACGGAGCAAUGCCGCGUGGAGGAUGAAAGCCCGUGGGUCGUAAACUCCUUUUCUCGGAAAAGAAAAUUUGACGGUAUCUGAGGAAUAAGCAUCGGCUAACUCCGUGCCAGCAGCCGCGGUAAUACGGAGGAUGCAAGCGUUAUCCGGAAUGAUUGGGCGUAAAGCGUCUGUAGGUGGUUUGUUCAGUCUCCUGUUAAAUAUCAGGGCUUAACCCUGAGCCAGCAGUGGAAACUACCAAGCUAGAGGACGGUAGGGGCAGAGGGAAUUCCCGUUGUAGCGGUGAAAUGCGUAGAUAUCGGGAAGAACACCAAUGGCGAAAGCACUCUGCUGGGCCGUAUCUGACACUAAGAGACGAAAGCUAGGGGAGCAAAUGG